rnacentral:rRNA from 1 species
UUAGAGUUUGAUCAUGGCUCAGGACGAACGCUGGCGGCGUGCCUAAUACAUGCAAGUCGAACGAGGCUUUUUGAUUGAUGCUUGCAUCAGCUAAAAAGCCGAGUGGCGAAUGGGUGAGUAACACGUGGGUAACCUGCCUUGAAGCGGGGGAUAACAUUUGGAAACAGAUGCUAAUACCGCAUAACCACAAAAGCCCCCUGGUUUUUGUGUCAAAGAUGGUUCUGCUAUCACUUCAAGAUGGACCCGCGGCGUAUUAGCUUGUUGGUGAGGUAACGGCUCACCAAGGCAAUGAUACGUAGCCGAACUGAGAGGUUGAUCGGCCACAUUGGGACUGAGACACGGCCCAAACUCCUACGGGAGGCAGCAGUAGGGAAUCUUCCACAAUGGACGCAGGUCUGAUGGAGCAACGCCGCGUGAGUGAAGAAGGUCUUCGGAUCGUAAAACUCUGUUGUCAGAGAAGAACGUGCGUGAGAGCAACUGUUCAUGCAGUGACGGUAUCUGAUCAGGAAGUCACGGCUAACUACGUGCCAGCAGCCGCGGUAAUACGUAGGUGGCAAGCGUUGUCCGGAUUUAUUGGGCGUAAAGGGAACGCAGGCGGUCUUUUAAGUCUGAUGUGAAAGCCUUCGGCUUAACCGAAGUCGUGCAUUGGAAACUGGGGGACUUGAGUGCAGAAGAGGAGAGUGGAACUCCAUGUGUAGCGGUGAAAUGCGUAGAUAUAUGGAAGAACACCAGUGGCGAAAGCGGCUCUCUGGUCUGUAACUGACGCUGAGGUUCGAAAGCGUGGGUAGCAAACAGGAUUAGAUACCCUGGUAGUCCACGCCGUAAACGAUGAAUGCUAAGUGUUUGGAGGGUUUCCGCCCUUCAGUGCCGCAACUAACGCAUUA